UACGUAGGUGGCGAGCGUUGUCCGGAAUUACUGGGUGUAAAGGGCGUGUAGGCGGGGAUGCAAGUCAGAUGUGAAAUUCCAGGGCUUAACUCUGGGGCUGCAUCUGAAACUGUAUCUCUUGAGUGCUGGAGAGGAAAGCGGAAUUCCUAGUGUAGCGGUGAAAUGCGUAGAUAUUAGGAGGAACACCAGUGGCGAAGGCGGCUUUCUGGACAGUAACUGACGCUGAGGCGCGAAAGCGUGGGGAGCAAACAGG
rnacentral:rRNA from 1 species